rnacentral:rRNA from 1 species
UACGUAGGGGGCAAGCGUUGUCCGGAUUUAUUGGGCGUAAAGAGCUCGUAGGCGGUUCCGUAAGUCGUGAAGUCAAAUCUCUGGGCUCAACCCAGAAUCGCUUCCGAUACUGCGGUGACUGGAGUCCGGUAGGGGAGUGUGGAAUUCCUGGUGUAGCGGUGAAAUGCGCAGAUAUCAGGAAGAACACCUAUGGCGAAGGCAGCACUCUGGGACGGUACUGACGCUGAGACGCGAAAGCGUGGGGAGCGAACAGG